rnacentral:rRNA from 1 species
UACGAGGGGGGCGAGCGUUGUUCGGAAUUAUUGGGCGUAAAGGGUGCGUAGGCGGUUCCGCAAGUCCUGUGUGAAAUCUUCGGGCUCAACUCGAAGUCUGCACGGGAAACUGCGGGGCUUGAGUGUGGGAGAGGUGAGUGGAAUUCCCGGUGUAGCGGUGAAAUGCGUAGAUAUCGAGAGGAACACCUGUGGCGAAAGCGGCUCACUGGACCAUAACUGACGCUGAUGCACGAAAGCUGGGGGAGCAAACAGG